rnacentral:lncRNA from 1 species
AGGAGAUAAGAGAUAGAAGACAAAAAAUAAGAGAGUAAAACAUGGAUAUGGGACUAGGAACAAAAUAAAGAAGACAAAGGGAGGGAUGGAUAAAAUCAAUUAUAAAGAUGGCAAAGAAGGGCGUGGCUUUAAUAAUUUUCUAAAAAUAAUAUAUAUAUAUACAUAUAUAUUUAUAGAUUUAAAAAAUAUAUAAUUUCAUCAA